rnacentral:misc_RNA from 1 species
UGGCUCUCGCAUNGAUGAAGAACGCAGCGAAAUGCGAUAAGUAAUGUGAAUUGCAGAAUUCAGUGAAUCAUCGAAUCUUUGAACGCAACUUGCGCCCCUUGGUAUUCCGAGGGGCAUGCCUGUUUGAGUGUCAUUAAGUUCUCAACCUUACUAGCUUUGCUGUUAGUUUGGCUUGGACAUGGAGGUUUAUGCAGGCUUUGAAAAAAGUCGGCUCCUCUUAAAUGCAUUAGUGGUACCUCUGUGGUUCAAACUGCUAUUGGUGUGAUAAUUAUCUACGCCAUUGGUAGUCCCACAAUUUAAAGAGGUUAUGCUGCUCUCUAACCGUCCUAAUCUCUGGACAAAUAAAAUGACAAUCUUGACCUCAAAUCAGGUAGGACUACCCGCUGA